GCGUGGUUGGUGAAGUGGUUAACACGGCGGAUUGUGGUUCCGUUAUGCAAGGGUUCGAUCCCCUUACCGCGCCCCA
rnacentral:tRNA from 1 species